CGUACGCAACCUUCCCGAAACAGGUGAAUAGCCCUCCGAAAGGAGGAUUAAUACACCGUAAUAUGAUCAGAUGGCAUCAUUUGAUUAUUAAAGAUCGCAAGAUCGGUUUUGGAUGGGCGUGCGCCUGAUUAGGUAGUUGGUGGGGUAACGGCCCACCAAGUCUGCGAUCAGUAACUGGUGUGAGAGCACGACCAGUCACACGGGCACUGAGACACGGGCCCG
rnacentral:rRNA from 1 species